rnacentral:rRNA from 1 species
GCGGUGGAGCAUGUGGUUAAUUCGAAGCAACGCGAAGAACCUUACCAGGUCUUGACAUCCCGAUGCUAUUUCUAGAGAUAGAAAGUUACUUCGGUACAUCGGUGACAGGUGGUGCAUGGUUGUCGUCAGCUCGUGUCGUGAGAUGUUGGGUUAAGUCCCGCAACGAGCGCAACCCUUGCCUUUAGUUGCCAUCAUUCAGUUGGGCACUCUAGAGGGACUGCCGGUGUCAAACCGGAGGAAGUGGGGAUGACGUCAAAUCAUCAUGCCCCUUAUGACCUGGGCUACACACGUGCUACAAUGGUUGGUACAACGAGUUGCGAGUCGGUGACGGCGAGCUAAUCUCUUAAAGCCAAUCUCAGUUCGGAUUGUAGGCUGCAACUCGCCUACAUGAAGUCGGAAUCGCUAGUAAUCGCGGAUCAGCACGCCGCGGUGAAUACGUUCCCGGGCCUU